CUUGUCUCAAAGAUUAAGCCAUGCAUGUCUAAGUAUAAGCAACUAUACCGUGAAACUGCGAAUGGCUCAUUAAAUCAGUUAUCGUUUAUUUGAUAGUACCUUUACUUGGAUAACUGUGGUAAUUCUAGAGCUAAUACAUGCUAAAAACCUCGACUUCGGAAGGGGUGUAUUUAUUAGAUAAAAAACCAAUGCCCUUCGGGGCUCCUUGGUGAUUCAUAAUAACUUAACGAAUCGCAUGGCCUUGCGCCGGCGAUGGUUCAUUCAAAUUUCUGCCCUAUCAACUUUCGAUGGUAAGAUAGUGGCUUACCAUGGUCUUAACGGGUAACGGGGAAUUAGGGUUCUAUUCCGGAGAGGGAGCCUGAGAAACGGCUACCACAUCCAAGGAAGGCAGCAGGCGCGCAAAUUACCCAAUCCCAAUACGGGGAGGUAGUGACAAUAAAUACUGAUACAGGGCUCUUUUGGGUCUUGUAAUUGGAAUGAGUACAAUUUAAAUCCCUUAACGAGGAACAAUUGGAGGGCAAGUCUGGUGCCAGCAGCCGCGGUAAUUCCAGCUCCAAUAGCGUAUAUUAAAGUUGUUGCAGUUAAAAAGCUCGUAGUUGAACUUUGGGUCUGGCUGAUCUGUCCUCCUAAUCGAGCGCACGGAUUCGGUCGGACCUUUCCUUCUGGGGAACCCUAUGCCCUUCACUGGGCGUAGUGGGGAACCAGGAC
rnacentral:rRNA from 1 species